UGGGGAAUAUUGCACAAUGGGGGGAACCCUGAUGCAGCCAUGCCGCGUGAAUGAAGAAGGCCUUCGGGUUGUAAAGUUCUUUCGGUGACGAGGAAGGUUGAUAGGUUAAUAGCCUAUCAAAUUGACGUUAAUCACGGAAGAAGCACCGGCUAACUCCGUGCCAGCAGCCGCGGUAAUACGGGGGGUGCGAGCGUUAAUCGGAAUAACUGGGCGUAAAGGGCACGCAGGCGGUGACUUAAGUGAGAUGUGAAAGCCCCGAGCUUAACUUGGGAAUUGCAUUUCAUACUGGGUCGCUAGAGUACUUUAGGGAGGGGUAGAAUUCCACGUGUAGCGGUGAAAUGCGUAGAGAUGUGGAGGAAUACCGAAGGCGAAGGCAGCCCCUUGGGAAUGUACUGACGCUCAUGUGCGAAAGCGUGGGGAGCAAACAGGAUUAGAUACCCUGGUAGUCCACGCUGUAAACGAUGUCGAUUUGGGGAUUGGGCUUUGAGCUUGGUGCCCGUAGCUAACGUGAUAAAUCGACCGCCUGGGGAGUACGGCCGCAAGGUUA
rnacentral:rRNA from 1 species